UGAACGCUGGCUGUAUGGAUAAGGCAUGCAAGUCGAACGGCCCGCAAGGGCAGUGGCAGACGAGGUAGUAACACGUAGGUACGUACUCCCAAGUCCGGCAUAGCUCGUCGAAAGACGGGGUAAUUCCGGAUGGUCCCGUAAGGGUAAAGAUUUAUCGCUUGGGAAGCGGCCUUCGUAGUAUCAGCUAGUUGGUAAGGUAAUGGCUUACCAAGGCUACGACGCUUAGGGGAGCUGAGAGGCUGACCCCCACCGAUGGGACUGAGACACGGCCCAUACUCCUACGGGAGGCCGCAGUCGAGAAUCUUCCGCAAUGGGCGAAAGUCUGACGGAGCGAUACAGCGUGGUGGAUGAAGUGCUUCGGUACGUAAACACCUUUUAUGUGGGACGAAAUUUUUGACGGUACCACAUGAAUAAGGGGCUCCUAACUCUGU
rnacentral:rRNA from 1 species